UGCAAGUCGACGAUGAACCACCUCGGUGGGGAUUAGUGGCGAACGGGUGAGUAACACGUGGGCAAUCUGCCCUGCACUCCGGGACAAGCCCUGGAAACGGGGUCUAAUACCGGAUACGAGUUCCCGCCGCAUGGCGGGGGCUGGAAAGCUCCGGCGGUGCAGGAUGGGCCCGCGGCCUAUCAGCUGGUUGGUGAGGUAACGGCUCACCAAGGCGACGACGGGUAGCCGGCCUGAGAGGGCGACCGGCCACACUGGGACUGAGACACGGCCCAGACUCCUACGGGAGGCAGCAGUGGGGAAUAUUGCACAAUGGGCGCAAGCCUGAUGCAGCGACGCCGCGUGAGGGAUGACGGCCUUCGGGUUGUAAACCUCUUUCAGCAGGGAAGAAGCGCAAGUGACGGUACCUGCAGAAGAAGCGCCGGCUAACUACGUGCCAGCAGCCGCGGUAAUACGUAGGGCGCGAGCGUUGUCCGGAAUUAUUGGGCGUAAAGAGCUCGUAGGCGGCCUGUCGCGUCGGUUGUGAAAGCCCGGGGCUCAACCCCGGGUCUGCAGUCGAUACGGGCAGGCUAGAGUUCGGUAGGGGAGAUCGGAAUUCCUGGUGUAGCGGUGAAAUGCGCAGAUAUCAGGAGGAACACCGGUGGCGAAGGCGGAUCUCUGGGCCGAUACUGACGCUGAGGAGCGAAAGCGUGGGGAGCGAACAGGAUUAGAUACCCUGGUAGUCCACGCCGUAAACGGUGGGCACUAGGUGUGGGCGACAUUCCACGUCGUCCGUGCCGCAGCUAACGCAUUAAGUGCCCCGCCUGGGGAGUACGGCCGCAAGGCUAAAACUCAAAGGAAUUGACGGGGGGCCCGCACAAGCCGGCGGAGCAUGUGGCUUUAAUUCGACGCAACGCCGAAGAACCUUACCAAGGCU
rnacentral:rRNA from 1 species